rnacentral:lncRNA from 1 species
GAAUCUGCCCUCCAAGCAGCGCCAGCUCCUCGUGGGCCCGCUGCGAGGUUCUUUAGGGGCCAAGUGACACCUGUGGGGACGCGGCUGUCACCCGCACGUCCCCGUCCCCGCCGGGUGGCUCGGUGCGAGCCGCAGCUUCUCCUGCUGGAGCCUCGGAACCGGAGGCCGCUUCCUGUCCCCGCCGAUAGCUGACCACUUCCUGCAGCUGCCGUGCCGCUGGGGGCCUGGCCCGAGCCGUGGGGGGGCUGCCAGAGGGGCCCCCCCCCUCUCCGGAAGCCGCGGCCCCGGCACCAUCGGCAGCUGUUGGACGCAGGCGGCCGCGCCUCCAGCCUCGUGCCUCCGGCUGCUGACCGCAGCGGCCGCCUUCCUGCCGGCUCCAGCUCCGCGGGAUCGGCCGAAUUUGGGGCCGGCCUGGACAGGAUGUCGCAGGGCCACAUGCUGGCAGACGUGGUGGCCAUCAUCGGUACGUGUCCCCCGGGGGCGUCCCGCGCGCCCCAUGGACCCCCUGUGGGUUCCAGGGGGGGGGGUCGGGGAGCCGGGCUCGGCCCUGCCCUCACCUCCCUUCUCCUCUCUCCAGGCACGCAGGACAUCGUGUUCGGGGAGGUGGAUCGGUGAGGGGCUCAGCGCCGUGCCCCCGCUGCGUGUGCUGCUCCCUGCGCUCCCCCCUGCGCCCCCCCCGUGCUGUCCCUUCACCGAUUUGAGUCGAAUAAAGGCUAAAACGGGUCCCGGCUCCGCGCUUCUGUCCCUGCGUCAGCCCUCGGCUGCCGGAACCGGGUGAAACCCCGCUCCUCUGCCCUUUCCCACACAAGGCUCGUGGUCGAGAGCUUCCCCUUCCCUCGAUGUGGGGCCCGCGGGCGCAUCACCCUCUCCGGGAGGAUCCUCCCCGC